UACGUAGGGUGCGAGCGUUAAUCGGAAUUACUGGGCGUAAAGCGUGCGCAGGCGGUUUUGUAAGCCAGAUGUGAAAGCCCCGGGCUCAACCUGGGAAUGGCAUUUGGGACUGCAAGGCUUGAGUGCGGCAGAGGAGACUGGAAUUCCUGGUGUAGCAGUGAAACGCGUAGAUAUCAGGAGGAAUACCGAUGGCGAAGGCAGGUCUCUGGGCUGACACUGACGCUCAUGCACGAAAGCGUGGGGAGCAAACAGG
rnacentral:rRNA from 1 species